CAGACAGAGCAGAGCCAGAGAGAGAGAAGGAUGGGGCACAGAGAACACAAACGGGGAGAGAGACUGCUCGGGAACACGUGGGAAAAGAGAGAGAGGAAGGGAGGGAGGGAGGGAGGGAGGGAGAGGGAGAGGGAGAGAGGGAGAGAGAGACAGAGAGACAGACAGAGAGAGAGACAGAGAGACAGAGAGACACACAGAGAGAGAGGUGUGUGGAAUGGUGGGCAAUCUUUUUAUAUGCAGCCUAUACUCGGGCACCUGGCAGCUGUAGGUGAUGAUCUUUGCUAAGUCCCUGGGAGGAGCCUAGUGGAAUUGCCUGUGAGCUAACACACUUGUCUGGCAUUGCCUUCCCAACCUUCUCAUCAGCUUUUCCAGUACUGGCUCUUUGAACCUGGAGGAUCAGCCAGGCUGUACCGGACAGUGGUGUAAGCCAGAGAUAAGCUUGCAUGGGGGCCAAUCCACUGGGCACUCUCAAAAGAGUUUGUUUCUACACACCCUGCCAUACCCUGUCUGUACCAGCACAGGUUGGCAGUAUUCUCAACAUGUGGUCCUCAAGGCAGCAACCCCAGAGGCCUUGCCUGGGACUUCAUUCUGGUAAGCUCUGUUGUUUCCUCCAGCCUAGUAAACAGCAUCUCCGGUGGCCCAGCUCUCUGUGCUUUAACAAGCCCUCUGAGAGCCAAUGACUUCGGGAAUCAACAGUCUUGGGAACAACACUCUGUCUCAGCUGCUGUGUGGGAGGAACUGUUUCUCCAUCUCUCCUGGUUGUGACAGGUUGAGAUAGGACUCCUGAUGCUGAUAUCCUAAAGCCCUGGGAUGACGUUUUUGGGGCUCAGGUACUCUGCCUGUUCUUCCCUCCUCCUCAAGCUGUGGCUGUAGUGGCUCCAGUUGCAGACUGCUGCACCUUUACCGGCUCUUAACCACCUCCCCACUGUGCUCACAGGCUCGAGGUCCACCCGUCUCUUACAGCAGCUUAUGUGCCAGGAUCACAGACAUGCACCACCAUGGCCUUUUAUGUGAUGUUGGGCCCCGAACCCAGGCCUUCCUGCUGGUUAGGUGAGUACUGUACCAACUGAGUUAAGUCCUCGGUUUCCCCACUGCUUACGGGAGGGAGUGCGGCCAUAUAAGCUGGCUGCUUUCUUCUUUUUCCUUAGAAAGCCUCUGAUUUCAGUUGGAAACAACAGUGUGCCCACAUGAAAGACCACAGUUCUUCCCUGAAGCUAAGAGUGGUCAAAAGACAGAACCCCGAGUGAGGCUCUCACUAAAGUUAUUUAAAAGGCAUCGGCAGUGCAGUCACCUCUUGUCCUCUCGGCCUUUCCUACUGCUUGGAAAGAGCAUGUGAUGGUUGGAAAUGAAACACUUGUCACUGUGACUUUGAAGAUGGAAGCCAUGUGAUUAAAGUCUCUUUAAU
ensembl:lncRNA